rnacentral:rRNA from 1 species
CCCUUAGAUGUCCUGGGCCGCACGCGCGUUACACUGAUGCAUUCAACGAGCUUAUAACCUUGGCCGAGAGGCCUGGGCAAUCUUGUUAACGUGCAUCGUGAUAGGGAUAGAUUAUUGAAAUUAUUAAUCUUGAACGAGGAAUUCCUAGUAAACGCAGAUCAUCAAUCUGCAUUGAUUACGUCCCUGCCCUUUGUACACACCGCCCGUCGCACCUACCGAUUGGAUGGUCCGGUGAAGCCUCGGGAUUGUGGUUCUUGCCGCUUUAUUGUGGCGUGACCGCGAGAACUUGUCUAAACCUUAUUAUCUAGAGGAAGGUGAAGUCGUAACA